rnacentral:rRNA from 1 species
ACGGAGGGUGCAAGCGUUAUCCGGAAUCACUGGGUUUAAAGGGUGCGUAGGCGGCCUGGUAAGUCAGAGGUGAAAGCUUCCCGCUCAACGGGAGAACUGCCUUUGAUACUGCCGGGCUCGAAUUGGGUUGAGGCUGGCGGAAUGUGGCAUGUAGCGGUGAAAUGCUUAGAUAUGCCAUAGAACACCGAUUGCGAAGGCAGCCAGCCAAGCCUUGAUUGACGCUGAGGCACGAAAGCGUGGGGAGCGAACAGGAUUAGAUACCCUGGUAGUCCACGCCCUAAACGAUGUUUACUCGACGUCCGGCCCUUGCGGUCGUGCGUCCAAGCGAAAGCGUUAAGUAAACCACCUGGGGAGUACGUUCGCAAGAAUG